rnacentral:rRNA from 1 species
AGUGAACGCUGGCGGUAGGCCUAACACAUGCAAGUCGAACGGCAGCACAGUAAGAGCUUGCUCUUACGGGUGGCGAGUGGCGGACGGGUGAGGAAUACAUCGGAAUCUACUUUUUCGUGGGGGAUAACGUAGGGAAACUUACGCUAAUACCGCAUACGACCUACGGGUGAAAGCAGGGGAUCUUCGGACCUUGCGCGACUGAAUGAGCCGAUGUCGGAUUAGCUAGUUGGCGGGGUAAAGGCCCACCCAGGCGACGAUCCGUAGCUGGUCUGAGAGGAUGAUCAGCCACACUGGAACUGAGACACGGUCCAGACUCCUACGGGAGGCAGCAGUGGGGAAUAUUGGACAAUGGGCGCAAGCCUGAUCCAGCCAUACCGCGUGGGUGAAGAAGGCCUUCGGGUUGUAAAGCCCUUUUGUUGGGAAAGAAAAGCAGCAGGUUAAUACCCCGCUGUUCUGACGGUACCCAAAGAAUAAGCACCGGCUAACUUCGUG